GACGAACCGUGCGAACGUUGUUCGGAAUCACUGGGCUUAAAGGGCGCGUAGGCGGGCUGCCAAGUUUGGGGUGAAAUCCUCCGGCUCAACCGGAGAACGGCCUCAAAUACUGGCGGUCUCGAGGGUGGUAGGGGCAUGCGGAACUAUGCGUGGAGCGGUGAAAUGCGUUGAUAUGCAUAGGAACUCCGGUGGCGAAGGCGGCAUGCUGGACCCUUUCUGACGCUGAGGCGCGAAAGCCAGGGGAGCAAACGGG
rnacentral:rRNA from 1 species